rnacentral:rRNA from 1 species
UACGUAGGGGGCAAGCGUUGUCCGGAUUUAUUGGGCGUAAAGAGCGUGUAGGCGGCUUUACAGGUCCGUUGUGAAAACUCGAGGCUCAACCUCGAGACGCCGGUGGAAACCGUAAAGCUAGAGUCCGGAAGAGGAGAGUGGAAUUCCUGGUGUAGCGGUGAAAUGCGCAGAUAUCAGGAAGAACACCAAUGGCGAAGGCAGCUCACUGGUCCGGUACUGACGCUGAGGUGCGAAAGCGUGGGGAGCAAACAGG